rnacentral:piRNA from 1 species
UCUGACGAAACUCUUUGUGACCCAGAGCA